rnacentral:lncRNA from 1 species
CCAUCGUGCGCCCUGACUAGCAACGUCGCCGAUGCGUUUGUAGCCUUUUAGCCACGCCGCACUGCUGCAAUCUAUUCGAUCCUCUCUAAUAAUGAGUCGCGCUUCCCUGGGUAGGUUGGUCUGCUCCAGCGUUGCAUGCAAAGAGCAGCCGCACCGCUCCAUCAGAAGUCGCUGUGACUUCUAAGCACCACAGUUUUAGGAGGUCCCAGCACUGCAUUUACUCUGAUUGCAUUAAUCCUCUGCUGCAAUUCAAGAAAUUGAAUCUGGUUGCUUUAGUUCUCUACCACUAUUCAAGAAAUUGAAAUUGCAAGAGGGUAACACAUGCGAUGAAUAACGACACUUCUGUAUGUGUGGAGGCUCAGCGAGAGAUGAGCAUUCGGAAAUCCAGUUGGUGAAAAAAAGUUAAUCUAAAG